rnacentral:rRNA from 1 species
UACCAGCACCCCGAGUGGUCGGGACGUUUAUUGGGCCUAAAGCAUCCGUAGCCGGUUCUACAAGUCUUCCGUUAAAUCCACCUGCUUAACAGAUGGGCUGCGGAAGAUACUAUAGAGCUAGGAGGCGGGAGAGGCAAGCGGUACUCGAUGGGUAGGGGUAAAAUCCGUUGAUCCAUUGAAGACCACCAGUGGCGAAGGCGGCUUGCCAGAACGCGCUCGACUGUGAGGGAUGAAAGCUGGGGGAGCAAACCGG